AAUUCGCCCUUAGAGUUUGAUCCUGGCUCAGAACGAACGCUGGCGGCAGGCCUAACACAUGCAAGUCGAGCGCGCCUUCGGGUGAGCGGCGGACGGGUUAGUAACGCGUGGGAACGUGCCCUUCUCUACGGAAUAGCCUCUGGAAACGGAGAGUAAUACCGUAUACGCCCUUUGGGGGAAAGAUUUAUCGGAGAAGGAUCGGCCCGCGUUAGAUUAGGUAGUUGGUGGGGUAACGGCCUACCAAGCCUACGAUCUAUAGCUGGUUUUAGAGGAUGAUCAGCAACACUGGGACUGAGACACGGCCCAGACUCCUACGGGAGGCAGCAGUGGGGAAUCUUAGACAAUGGGGGCAACCCUGAUCUAGCCAUGCCGCGUGAGUGAUGAAGGCCUUAGGGUCGUAAAGCUCUUUCGCCUGUGAUGAUAAUGACAGUAGCAGGUAAAGAAACCCCGGCUAACUCCGUGCCAGCAGCCGCGGUAAUACGGAGGGGGUUAGCGUUGUUCGGAAUUACUGGGCGUAAAGCGCGCGUAGGCGGAUUAGAAAGUUGGGGGUGAAAUCCCGGGGCUCAACCUCGGAACUGCCUCCAAAACUGCUAGUCUAGAGUUCGAGAGA
rnacentral:rRNA from 1 species